UACGAAGGGGGCUAGCGUUGUUCGGAAUUACUGGGCGUAAAGCGCGCGCAGGCGGUCUUCCAAGUCAGUGGUGAAAGCCCGGAGCUCAACUCCGGAACUGCCAUUGAAACUGUUAGACUUGAGGACGAGAGAGGUGAGUGGAAUUCCCAGUGUAGAGGUGAAAUUCGUAGAUAUUGGGAAGAACACCGGUGGCGAAGGCGGCUCACUGGCUCGUAUCUGACGCUCAGGCGCGAUAGCGUGGGAAUCAAACAGG
rnacentral:rRNA from 1 species